UGAAACAGGAGAUACGGAUGAAUCAAGCAUAAACAAUUUUGUAUUAUAGGAAAUCAAUCCAUGAGUAUUGCAGCAAUUGAGCUCUCUAGCACCUGAAGUCAUAUCUAUUAAAUCAAGCAUAACGUCUUUAUGAACCCUGUUAAAAACAACAACAUUUUACCAAAUACGGACAAGAAAAACAAAAUGAGCACUGAUUGUUUAUUAUAUGUUCUGAUGUUUGUUAAGUACUUUUAUUUCUAAAGCACCAUUCGAACCCUUCCUUCUUCAUGUUGUGUCGUGAAAUUCGGAAAUGUAAAUUGAAAUUAUCAAAUCCACGUUUUCACAUUUUAUCCAAACAAAGUUUUAAUAUGCAUUCAGACAGUCACAUAGAGGACUCACUA